rnacentral:misc_RNA from 3 species
AACGCACAUUGCGCCCGCCAGUAUUCUGGCGGGCAUGCCUGUUCGAGCGUCAUUUCAACCCUCAAGUCCCCUGUGGACUCGGUGUUGGGGACCGGCGAGACAGCCGCGGAUCUUCUUCCGCAGCGAGUCGCCGCCCCCCAAAUGACUUGGCGGCCUCGUCGCGGCCCUCCUCUGCGUAGUAUAGCACACCUCGCAACAGGAGCCCGGCGAAUGGCCACUGCCGUAAAACCCCCCAACUUUUUCAGAGUUGACCUCGAAUCAGGUAGGAAUACCCGCUGAACUUAA